rnacentral:sRNA from 1 species
GGGCCACGUGGUCAAGGCCCUGGCCCUUGGAGCCUCCACAGGCCCCUGGCGAGUACUUCUUCUCAGACGGGGUGCGGCUCAAGAAGUACCGGGGCAUGGGCUCACUGGAUGCCAUGGAGAAGAGCAGCAGCAGCCAGAAACGAUACUUCAGGUUCCCUGACCCUGGGCCCCACCUGGGCAGAUCAGCCCACAACCCUUCAGGGCCCGCCCAUGCCACCGACUUCCCCAGAUGGCAGCCAGUCUCCAUAUGGUGGUUCUGGAAACUGAGGCACAGGGCAUAAGUAGCAGACACAGGAUCUGUCCCUGGGCCACCUGACUCAGAGCCCAGCGAGGGGCGGCCUGGGGGACCUUCCUGGGCAGUAUCCCGUUUUUGCCCUUAAGAGGUGGGGUGGGGUCCUCUGAGCUUCAGGCUGCUGGGCUCAGUCUUCCACCCUCCACGCAGUGAGGGGGAUAAAGUGAAGAUCGCGCAGGGUGUCUCGGGCUCCAUCCAGGACAAAGGAUCCAUUCAGAAGUUCGUGCCCUACCUCAUAGCGGGCAUCCAACACGGCUGCCAGGAUAUAGGGGCCCGCAGCCUGUCUGUCCUUCGGUCCAUGAUGUACUCAGGAGAGCUCAAGUUUGAGAAGCGGACCAUGUCGGCCCAGAUCGAGGGUGGCGUCCAUGGCCUGCACUCGUA